CCUACGGGGUGCAGCAGUGGGGAAUAUUGGACAAUGGGCGAAAGCCUGAUCCAGCCAUGCCGCGUGUGUGAAGAAGGCCUUCGGGUUGUAAAGCACUUUCAGUGGGGAAGAAAGCCUUGGGGCUAAUACCCUCGAGGAAGGACAUCACCCACAGAAGAAGCACCGGCUAACUCCGUGCCAGCAGCCGCGGUAAUACGGAGGGUGCGAGCGUUAAUCGGAAUUACUGGGCGUAAAGCGCGCGUAGGCGGUCUGAUAAGCCGGUUGUGAAAGCCCCGGGCUCAACCUGGGAACGGCAUCCGGAACUGUCAGGCUAGAGUGCAGGAGAGGAAGGUAGAAUUCCCGGUGUAGCGGUGAAAUGCGUAGAGAUCGGGAGGAAUACCAGUGGCGAAGGCGGCCUUCUGGACUGACACUGACGCUGAGGUGCGAAAGCGUGGGUAGCAAACAGGAUUAGAUACCCUGGUAGU
rnacentral:rRNA from 1 species